CUGAUUCCUGGUGUAAAAAUAAAUUUAAAAAUUGACACUUCCUGUGAAAGAGAGGUGAUACAUACACACAGCAUUUUGUAACUGUGGAGUCUCUUACAGAACACCUGGUAGUUGUGGAAAUGUACUUCAGAAAAUAGAUUUUCCAAUGCUUUCUUGAGUGAACAGCCUAUCAAAAGCUUGCUAUUAAAAGGAAAUAUCUUUAAAAGUUUUCAUUGUAUUCUCAGCUGUGUUAAACCAAAUUAUUAAGAGAGGAUUUAUGCACUCUGGUACCUGAACAAAGUAAUUUGUAUUGGGAUUGUUCAAUGUGCUGACAGAACUGGACGUCAUUAUUUCAUUACACUCGUAUUUCUUGUUCCUGGCAAGUUCCUGAAGGACAUGAGAUUUUAGAUGUUGUCACACUCUGGGACAGUCUCACCUAACCUGGAAACCAGCAAGAUAAAAAAGGAGGAAAUGGCCUGUAAAGAACAAAGUUCUUUGGGAUUUUUCACGAACUGGUUGGGGAUUUCUUGAAAAGGAACUGAAUUAAUGACUGAUUGUGGAGGAAGGAGUGAAAAUAAUGAGGUGUCAUUAAUUUUUCAAAAUUGUCAACACUACAGGUGAUAACUGCAAGCAAUAUAUUGCUUUGUCUUGAAAGCACAUGUCAAAAGCUGUUUUAGAUGUCAUUGUACCAUAACAGCUGAGCCAAAAUACAGUGUGCUUAUAUAUGAAUCUGUUAAUCUCAUCUAAUUUAAUGCACUGAGAAAUCAAGUCUAACUUUUUUGUUUGCUUUCUCUGUUGGGGUUAAAUGAGCAAGCAAAUCUUUGACUUUUUAGUGAAAGAAAGUCUGUCUUACUUUAAGCAUUAAGAUAAAAUAGCAAUGAAUUAAAAGAUGGUUUUAAACUAUUUUUUUAGUAGCUCACGGACUGUUAUAGUAUGGGCCAUGAUUUAUUUAUUUAUUUUUUAGUGGGCCACCUGUUCAUUGCUGAAUAGCAAGAAAACAGGAGAGGCAAAAAUACCAGAAAGUAACUGAGAAAAGUCUUAUACUGCAUCUUGGUGGGUGGCAUGUGAAAAAUACAAGUUCUUCACUGACUUUUAGACUGUGUGUACAUUAUUGUAGCAGCGGAAGAAUAGCUUUGGAGCUAAGAAGUUAGUACAGAGGAUAUUUUGGGGGCUUAUAUUGGAUGGGGUUUUUUCAUCUGUGCCCUUUCUUUUUGAUAUAAAGAUCAAAAUUAAAAGUCUGUAAUAUGUUUAAGACAAAUUGUGCUAGAGAUAAUGAUGGUUUUACAGAACAAUUUCUAUAGGCCAUUAGGCUGUAGUGUUGCUCUUUCAUAAUUCCUAUUACUACAAUGCAUUGUUUAGUUCAUGCACACCAUGUUUAUUGCCUAAACAAAAAUCCAGAGCAUUUGAAAAGCUCAUUUUAUAGAGGCUUUGGAAAAAUCUAAUUAUAUGAGAUAAUGUGUUACGGUAAUGCAAAAGCUUAAGUAUAAAAUACAUUCACUUGUAACCUGAGAAGUGCCCAGACUGCUUUCUGUUAAAUGUUUUCUGUUGGAAAUUACUGGCAUUAAAAUCUCAGCAGUUUUUUUCUAAUGAGAACAAACCCUUUAAACAAUGCUUUUUAAUAUGAUUUUGCUUAAAGUCUUGACAAAAUCUAAUUUCAUAAGUUACAAUGUUCAAGAUGCUUUGUUUUCAUAUGAUAUCACCAGAGAAGUGGUCUGAGAAGUAGAAGUAAGAUGUACCUCUUCCAGAUUUGCCUGACUUCUUUGUCUCUGCUGAUAUUUUAGGGUAUUUGGAACUUAAUAGGAUAUGAUCUUAAUUUCUUUAUGGUUGAGGGACACUGAGCAAAAUUUGAGAAAUAAAUUUUAGAAAAUAAAGCCCACACAAGAUGUGUUCAGGGCCUGGACCUCUGAAGCCCAGUGAGCUUUAUAUGUAUUCAUGUGAAAAUACAGCUUUUAUGCUUUAAAAAAAUGUGCAAAACUCUUAAAAUCUGCAAAAACUGAGGGGAGAGUUUUCUUUGCGAUACUUCAAUAUACCAUAAGACUUCUAGCCCUCAAACUCUACUGAAAUGGUAAAUGCUUUUUCCAUAGAACCUUGUGAUUUUUUCAGAAUUACUGGAAAGAAAACUCAAUAGCUUUCUAGCAGUUUGACAGAAGCUCUGCAUUCAGGGCAAUAUUCUGUUUCCCAAGUGGAUAUUUUAGGAUGUCCAGCCCUAAUGAAGGUAGUCAGUACAAGUGUGGAAGGGCAGAACGCACUCUGAGCAUCCUCAUUAAACUGAGUUCCAAGAGGAAGACAAAGAAUGUUCUGUAAUUCAGAUAUUUUCAGUUUUGAGCAAACGCUUUGUAUCUUAGUGCUGGCAGUAUUAGAGGCAAUUCUGAAUGUGUGCAGAAAGGAAGUGAUGGACACCUGCAGUUCCUUCCACUGUUGAAAGGAAUUUUUCACAUAAAUAUUUUAUUCUGAGUACCUAUACUUAAAAAUUACAAUUAAAUCUCUGAGAGACUUUGGAGAUAUCCUACCUUCCAGCUGUCAGAAUAUUCAGAUCAUUUGGUUUAAAGUGUCUCAGAUUCUGAAGUCACAGGUUUUUGAAUAGUGAGAGAAGCCCAUGAGCUUCAUUGUGUAAUUUGGGUUGUAAGUUGGGUCUCUUCUCAUUCAGGCUUGAAAGUUCUGGUCUACUGUCACCUCAAUCCAUAUUUAAUGACCUUAUAGAUCUAACCUAAUAAUAGAAGUAGAGUCCGCUUUUUCUUCACCUGGUAUCUGCCGCUAAAGUAAACUUUCACAAUUCAGAUGGGUAUAGGUAAAUAAUGAUUAACUGCCAAAUACGGAUAUAAACAUCUGUAUUUAGAUGCUGGUAAUUGAGCAUGAUCAUGUUUAAACAUUGUGCCUAGAAUAUUUGGUGUGCAAGUAUGGGAAACCCUUAUGACUAUCAGGAAAGACCUACCUCAUGAGUAAGACUGUUGAGUAAUCUAAGGUAAAAAUAAUUGAUAUGAAUCUUAAUUAUUGAAAAAAACCCCAUCCCAAACCAACACAACAGUCAAUCUCCUGAGAAAUGCAUAAGCAAAAACAGCAAUGUGGCAAAAAUUCUUUAAUUCUAACCUCUAUUGUUUAUUGUGAAUACAUGAUUGCAAACUAAUUGUUUACAACCACAUAAGCUGUGAUAAUUGAACUAUUUUUAAAAGCUAUUCUAAUAGAAAUUUGUUAGCAUUAUUAUGCUCAGGAAAAGAGAGAAAGAUAUUGAGACUCAGUUUCUCUUCUUUAGUUCCUCUUCCUAUAGAUAGGAAAGAGAACCAACAAAUGAAAUUUAGAACCAUGUCAGGUCUGGUUCCUGAGCAAGGAAAUCCUCAUUAACUUGACCAUUUCUCAUGUCAUGAAUGAGUCAUUGAUUAAUUCAAAAGAACACCAUAAAAUGGUACUUGUUCUGUAUGUAGGGAUUGUUCUGUAUGCAUACAUCUGCAGAUGGGGAGAACAUCAGGGUGUAGCAGAAGAACUAAAGGGGGCCCCUCAGGGUGGCCCAUUCUUCCCGGUGAACCACAGAAGUUCUACCAGCCUUUCUGUGAUUUUUAACAUCUGGUAGGAAACGCAUUGCAUAGGAGGAAGGUCAGAAAAAGAAAUUGAUGAUCCCAACUUGAAAGACUAAAUUGAGGCAGAUCACCCUAUGAUGAGCUCACGCUGUGUAUCAUCAUUUGCCUCCCAGAAAGCACCAACAAUAAGAGGAUCAGAAGAAGCCUGCGAAAAGGAUUACAUUGCAUUCAUUUUUUUCUAUGAAAUUGUCCUUAUGUUGUAAACGGUUCUAAAGAAAAUGCUGUCAUCCAAAUGCAAUAAGAUGAAGAACUUACAAUAAAAGUAUAUAAAAUGUA